UACGUAGGGUGCGAGCGUUGUCCGGAAUUACUGGGCGUAAAGAGCUCGUAGGUGGUUUGUCGCGUUGUCCGUGAAAACUCACAGCUCAACUGUGGGCGUGCGGGCGUGACGGGCAGACUGGAGUACUGCAGGGGAGACUGGAAGUUCCUGGUGUAGCGGUGGAAUGCGCAGGAUAUCAGGAGGAACACCGGUGGCGAAGGCGG
rnacentral:rRNA from 1 species